UUCUCACUCUGCUGCCAGAUGAUGGGUAACCAAGAUGAAUGGAUGAAAUAUGAGCUGAUGGCCAUCCAGCGUAGCUCUCACCUCCGGGUUAUCGGAGGAGGGCUAUUAACAACAGUUAAAUUAGCACAGUCAUUGGCCUAUAUGAAGCUCUGCUUGGGUAACCUGCCCUUAUCUAUUCAAUUAGGCUAUCGAGCCCAUGAAAUGUGUGUGUGUCUGAAGAAACCGAAGCUGGACUAUCUGGUUCUCUGCAUGCUCUUCAAAGCUCUCUUUCUGAGCAUCAGGUAUGAUGCAAAUUUAUGUUCCCAUAUGGAUGGGCUAAGGAGAAUGGUGUAUGGAGAAGAAAUCUAAUAGGGAACUGUGGGAGGUCGAUGGAGACACAAGUAUAGU
rnacentral:lncRNA from 1 species